rnacentral:tRNA from 1 species
GGAGCACAGACGGCAUUCGGGAAACAAAACUCGAAAUCUCGUAGGGUGUUAACAGCACCGCCAGGGUUCAAAUCCCUGCUGCUCCGCCA